rnacentral:rRNA from 1 species
ACGGGAGGCAGCAGUGGGGAAUAUUGGACAAUGGGGGGAACCCUGAUCCAGCGACGCCGCGUGAGUGAAGAAGUAUUUCGGUAUGUAAAGCUCUAUCAGCAGGGAAGAUGAUGACGGUACCUGACUAAGAAGCACCGGCUAAAUACGUGCCAGCAGCCGCGGUAAUACGUAUGGUGCAAGCGUUAUCCGGAUUUACUGGGUGUAAAGGGAGCGUAGACGGCAUGGCAAGCCAGAUGUGAAAGGUGGGGGCUCAACUCCCAAGCUGCAUUUGGAACUGUCAGGCUAGAGUAUCGGAGAGGUAAGUGGAAUUCCUAGUGUAGCGGUGAAAUGCGUAGAUAUUAGGAGGAACACCAGUGGCGAAGGCGGCUUGCUGGACGAUAACUGACGUUGAGGCUUGAAAGCGUGGGGAGCAAACAGGAUUAGAUACCCUGGUA